rnacentral:rRNA from 1 species
AUUGAACGCUGGCGGCAGGCCUAACACAUGCAAGUCGAACGAGUGGCGGACGGGUGAGUAAUGCCUGGGAAACUGCCUUAUGGAGGGGGAUAACUACUGGAAACGGUAGCUAAUACCGCAUACCAUCAGAUGUGCCCAGGUGGGAUUAGCUAGUUGGUGGGGUAAAGGCUCACCAAGGCGACGAUCCCUAGCUGGUCUGAGAGGAUGACCAGCCACACUGGGACUGAGACACGGUCCAGACUCCUACGGGAGGCAGCAGUGGGGAAUAUUGCACAAUGGGCGCAAGCCUGAUGCAGCCAUGCCGCGUGUAUGAAGAAGGCCUUCGGGUUGUAAAGUACUUUCGUUAGGGAGGCGGUAACUAAAGAAGAAGCACCGGCUAACUCCGUGCCAGCAGCCGCGGUAAUUC